GCUGUCUCACUCUGUCACCCAGGCUGGAGUGCAGUGGUGCAGUCUUGGCUCACUGCAACCUCCGCCUCCCGGGUUCAGGCAAUUCUCCCUGCCUCAGCCUCCCAGGUAGCUGGGAUUACAGUGACUCACCACCACGUCCGGCUAAGUUUUGUAUUUUUAGUAGGGAUGGGAUUUCACCAUGUUGGCCAGGCUGGUCUCCCACUCUUGACCUCAUGUGAUCUGCCCACCUCAGCCUCCCAAAGUGCUGGGAUUACAGGCAUGAGCCACCGCGCCCGGCCUAAAACCUUUCUAAUGUGCAUAUUUUUUUGACCCAAAUGCCCUUAGAGUAUUUGACACAAUACUCUUAGAACAUUCUCAAGGUGACAUCAUUUAUGAUUCUAAAGGUUUGAGAAGAAUCUACAAAUUCAACAAUGGAACUGAUUGAGCAGGUUUUGGUAGAGCCACGCAACAGAGUUUUGUGCAACCAUUCAAAAUGAUCAUAUGGAAGUAUAUUUAUUUACUGGAGUAAUUAUUUAUUCAUUGGUAAUUGGUCAAUUCAGUGAUCAUUUUUCUAUUCUCAGCAACAUUUAACACAGUUGAUGUUGGCAUUACCUCAGUGACAAGACACUUUCCAGAUUUCUCUUCUGUCUCAUCACUCUCAUAGUUUUGCUCUGUAGGUAUCUACUUCUUUUCAACUUCUACAUGGAAAUGCCCCAAAACUGGGACCCAAUCUCUUACCCAUCUAUACUCUCCUUCAGAAAUAUAUUUACACUCACAAAUACUUGUCUUAGACUCAGAUUUUACACUCCUAUAUCCAGCUGCACGUUUGAGGUGUCCAUUUGAGUGAUUAAUGCAUAAGCUACUCAGGCUUGAAAUGACCAAGAUCAGAACUCCUGAAUCCUCUUUUCCCAAACCACUGCCUUAUCUUAUGGUCUCUUGGAAGCAUUCAAAGCAGUUGACUGCCCCUUCGAAACACAUUUUUCUCAUGUUUUGCAGAACUCCAAGCUCUCCCAUUUUCCUCCUUUAUGCUCCUGCCAGUUCUGCAAAUGUGGGAGUUGCCCAAGGCUUUGUUCAUCAGCCCUCUUACCUAAUCACAUUUCUUCCAAGAUGUCUUAUCCAAGCCCAUAGUUUUAAAUGCCAUCUGUGUUCAAAUUAGUCCUUUCAACAGAUAUUUAUUGUGUGCUUAUUGCACUUAUUAUAUAGGUAAUUAACAAAGAUGUGAAGCAGUUGCAUUGCUUUUUUUUUUGAGACAGAGUCUUGCUCUGUCGCCUAGACUGGGGUGCUUUGGCGCGAUCUUGGCUCACUGCAACCUCCGCCUCCUGGGUUCAAACAAUUCUCCUGCCUCAGCCUCCCAAGUAGCUGGGAUUGCAGGCACCUACCACUGCGCCCAGCUAAUUUUUGUAUUUUUUAGUAGAGAUGGGAUUUCACCAUGUUGGUCAGGCUGGUCUCCAACUCCUGAGCUCAGGUGAUCCGCCCACCUCGGCUUCCCAAAGUGCUGGGAUUACAGGCACAAGCCACCAUGCCCAGCCAGCAAUUGCACUUUCAUAUCCUGGGAGUAUAUAUUGGAACACUGUUAACAUAAGGCUUACGACAAUGAAAUUCUCCCAGAUACACAUUCAACAGAAACACAUAUCCCCACCAAAACACAUGUACUACAAUGUGUGUAUUCAUAGCGGCACUAUUUCAUAGUUGACAAAUUCUGGAAGCAACCCAAAUUCUCAUUCAUAGUAGAAUGGAUAAAUGUAAAUAUCCACCCACACAAUGCACUACUCAACAGUAUAGAUGAGUAUCAUUAACAUAAUGGUGCUUGAAAGAAACCAGAUGUAAAAUAAUACAUAUGACUCUGUCAUAUAAUAGACAAAACAUGGCAAAAUAAAUCUGUUAAGCCAAGCUAGUGAUGGCCAUGUUGGGAGAGCUUCUGGGUGAGGGUCUGUUAAUCUUGGUUACAUUGGGUGUGCAAUUUGUGAAAUUCAUUGUGCUGUACGCUGACAGUAGAUUUUAUGUAUCUUAUACUUUUAGAGUUAAAAAAUGUACUUUUUUUUUUUUGAGACAGAGUCUCCCUUUGUUAUCUAGGCUGCAGUGCAGUGGCACAAUCUCAGCUCAUUGCAACCUCCGCCUCCCAGGUUCAAGCAGUUCUCCUGCCUCAACCUCCCGAGUAGCUGGGAUUACAGAUGCCCACCACCACGCCCGGCUAAUUUUUCUAUUUUUAGUAGAGACGGGGUUUCGCCACGUUGGCCAGGCUGCUGUCAAACUCCUGACCUCAGGUGAUCCACCCUCCUCGGCCUCCCAAAGUGCUGGGAUUACAGGAAUGAGCCACCUUGCCUAGCCUAAAAAAAAGAAAAAAAAAAAAAAAAAAAAAACUUUGCCCUCGUGGAUCUCAUCUGGGGUGAGACUAGUGACUCCAAAAUGGUAUCUCCAGUUCUACCUGACCACUGAGCUCCAAGAGACUCACAUGCCACUGCCCCGCAGUUAUCCACCUGGAUGUUUGAUGGGCAUCUCACAUUAACAAUUCUACGUAGAAAUCUUGAUUUUUAUAUCUAACUUGUUCUGUCCCCAGUUGCACUAAAUAAUACCGCCUACCCAGCUACUUAAACCUAAAACAUAAGCUGAUUCCUCUUUCCCUCACCCUGCUGCCAUUCAGUUACAUAGUCCUGUUGUCUCUUCUUGUACACUCCAAAUAUAUCCACUUCUAUUUCUGCUCUGAGCCACCAUCAUCUCCAUCGCAGACUUGUGCAAUAGCUUCCAAUCGGUCUCUUCAGCUCUUCCCUUCUGACAAUCUCUUUUCCACACAGUUGCUUUAGUGAUCUUUAAAAUCAAAUCAACUUACAUCAUUACCUGCUGAAAACCUAGUAACUUCAUAUCCAAGUUCCUUAUGUGUGUCUACAUUUAAUCCCUAACACACUUCGUAUUCACCAUCUAGUUUUCUUCCCCAAUCAGUCUAAUGUCAGAAUACUCUUGACUCCUGUGCAGCCUGGGCACAGGCCAUCGAACCUCAAGACCUUAAAUGAUGUCACCUUAGUGACUCCCUGCAACAUGCUUCUCCCACCUCCAACACCUCAUAUAAAAUGGCCAGCAUCGUUUUUUGUUGUUCUUGUUUUGAGAUGGAGUUUCACUCUGUCACCCAGGCUGGAGUGCAGCAGCGCGAUGGCGGCUCACUGCAACCUCUGCCUCCCGGGCUCAAGCAAUUCUCUUGCCCCAGCCUCCAAGCAGCUGGGACUAAAGGCAUGCAUCACCAUGACCAGCUAAUUUUUGUGUGUGUGUGUUAGUAGCGAUGGAUUUUUCUCCAUAUUGGCCAGGCCGGUCUUGAACUCCUGACCUCAAGUGAUCUGCCUGCCUCGGCCUCCCAAAGUGCUGGGAUGACAGCCAUGAGCCACCAUGCUUGGCUUUUUUUUUUUAAACAUGGUUUGCAUUUGGUAUUUUCUUGUUAUAAGGUAUGGCUCUCCCCAUUUGAAAAGGUAAGCAUCAUGAAAUCUAGGACCCUGCCUUUCUGGUUUACCACUGGAUUCUCUGAUGUCUAGAACAUUACUGGGCAGGCAGAUGAAUGAAUAUAGUAAAGAAAAAAGCAAGUUUAGUAUGUAUAGUAUGAUCCCAAAAUAUUUUUAUAGAGAAAAAUCUGGAACCACAUUUACCAAAAUAUUAACAAUAUUUCUGAUAGUGGAAUUGUAGAUUGUUAUAACUUUUUCGUUAUGCUUGCUUACAUUUUAUAAUUUUCUAUGAACUUGUUUAGUAAAAAGUCUUAGAAUACCCUACCGUUAGGUUUUAAAGCUUUGCAUCUAAAAUAGCUUUGAGAUGAGUUCCAAAAGGUUUAAAGCACCUGAGGGAUGUGUAAAAUUGCACUCUUUUCUAUUAUAACCCUGAGGUCAGUGAGCAUAACCAAGGAUUAAUUGUCAACUUAUUUUCACUCACCUUUGUAACAUCAAAAUUCUGGACGUUUGACCUUAAAAAAGGCAUUUCCAAACAUGAAUACAUGAACACACCAUACUUCUCAAAGGACAACAAACUACAACUGGUUGUUUAGAAGUGAUAAUGGCCUUUAGGGUUCCCGAACCCUCUGAAAUUAUGUGUAGGGGCAGGCUCAUGUGGGGCUUGGGGACAUGGGUCUCAGUAGAGGCCCAUAGGGCCCAUAGCUUUCAUUAGAUUCUCUGAGGGUUCCUGCCCUCUGCUUUGCCAAGUUUCUUACUAUAUGAUGUUCUCUUUCCCAGAAGAAUCUCUUUGGGAAAAGACAGUGUACAGUUGUGGAAGAGCCCCCUUGCGCAAAACAAAUGUUCUCUUGCCUAAAAUUCAUCCAUUAAGGAAAGCUAUCCUUAAAAAAAAAUGGGCCAGGCGCAGUGGCCCACACCUAUAAUCCCAGCACUUUGGAAGGCCGAGGUGAGUGGAUCACCUGAGGUCAGGAGUUCAAGACCAGCCUGGCCAACAUGGUAAAACAUCACCUCUACUAAAAAUGCAAAAAUUAGCCAGGCGUGGUGGCAGGCGCCUGUAAUCCCAGCUACUUGGGAGGCUGAGGCAGGAGAAUCUCUUGAACCCGGGAAGCUGAGGUUGCAGUGAGCCAUGAUUGCACCAUUGCAUUCCAGCCUGGGCGACAAGAGUGAAACUCCGCCUCAAAAAAAAAAAAAAAAAAAAAAGAAUGCCUUUUGGAGGGAGAAGUGCCUAGGUAUUGAGCCAUUAUCAGUUAUUAACCCCUUUGUGCAAACUCUCUUAUCCUAUCCUUGCGCAAAUACUGCAUUUGCUCUCUUCAGAUGCCAUUUGUUCUAUUUAUUGGGAAGUAGAGGUCCAGAGUAGAUGGCUGAGACCUACUGACUUAAGUGAGAUACUGUGAUAGCACAUGCCAGAUCCUAAUACAUAACAAACAGCUUCAUGAGACAAAACUUAAUGCACUGGAAUUUUCUAUUCUGCCAUGACUCAUUAAUAUUUCAACCCACUGAUCAGUUUGACCUUCAGUCUGAAACACUGCUCAAGAUAAAUGAUCUUGUAUAUCUUCAGUAGCAUGUUCAGUAAGGAAGUAGACGAAGGCAGGACAAUACCAUGCUGGUGAGGCGCCUGGACUCCAGUCAGAUAACCCAGCAUCAACUCUGCUGUGACCCUUACCAGCUGUGUGACUUUGGGCAACUUAUUUAACCUACCUAUGCCUGUUUUCUUCAUGUAUAACUAAAGGUGAUAGUGAACCUAAUGAGGAUUAAAUUGCGCAAUGAAUAAGCACUUACCACAGUGCCUAGCAUAGUAAACAUUUAAUACAUGUAUUAAAGAAUUGGAGCAAUGGUCUUGCAACCUUUUCCACAACCCCCCCAGCCCUUUAAUUCAGAAAACCUGCCUAAAAAUGAAGCCCAAAGUGUAAGCACAAUAAAAACAAUAAAAGUGGAGCCCUUGAAUAGAGUGGGUAGGAGCCUUGGCUCCAGAGAAAACGCAUAUAUGUGCAUAGGAUCAGAAUGAAAUGUCCCAUUUUAAGUUUACCUUCCCUGCUAUGAGCUACCACCACCAUUACAAGAGGACACUAAAUUUCACAGAUGGUGGUGAAUGACUGGGGCUCACCUGAUUUUGCUUAAUAAGGAUCUCUUAUGGACUACAAAAUCAAAUUCCUAUGCCUGUAAGGCAGGGAAAACAGUUCAUGAGCACAAUCCAAUCUGUAAGCAUGUCUUCUUGGUUGCAAACUGCAGUUUAAAUUAGUGCUUGCGAAGUCAGGAUAUUGUACCGAAAAAUCCAGAUUUCUCUAAAAUGGCCCCAUAGGCCUGGUUUCCUGCAUGGCUGCCCCUGGCUGAAGAAUGCUUCAUUCGGUCUGUCCAGUCUCUGGCAUUCUGUGGUUUCCCUACAGAAACCACGUGUUUGCUUUUUUUAUAGUAGAGAAAUCUUACCACUAUCUCUGUGUGUUAACAAUCUGGCUCCUGCUUUGAGGUGCACCUUCACUUAAUGGUGCCUCGUAAACAGAUUGCAGCAGUGAGAUCAGCCGGGCUUCAGCUGAUUAAACACCCAGUUGGGAACACCCAGCUGGGAACACACUGUCUCUGUUCUUUACUAAAGCAAAGUCCACUCUUUCACACCGGCUCCUCUGCUGUCCUAUCUUACAGACCUUGGCUUUCUUUUCCAUCUCUGGACGAUGUUGAUCCUCACCUGGUUCUAGUUCCUGCCUUACCUUAUUCUAAUAUUGAUGGCCUGCUUCUGGCAAUUUACACUGCCUUGUUUCACUUCACUUCAUCUUGUUUAACCCCUAAAUGCACCCUACUUUCACUGUGUUCUUGAAAAGAUCUCAAAAUACCUCUGCUUUAAUUAUAGAAGCAAUUAUGUAUCCACUGAAUGAGAGGACACCUUGAUUUCAAUUUCCAUUUAUAAACUUCUGCCCAUCAUCAUUCAUAUUUAGCUCUGUGAGUCUCAUAACUGCACCAGCAGCCUUGCAUGUCUAUUUUACUGCCACUUUCUAGGCCCAAACUGUUUAAAUUUAUGUCUUGAUUUCAUCUUUAAACUUUGAUUUUACCAGGUUAUUCUUGAAAUUAAAGUUAAACCUUGCUCUUCUAACAUUAGGCCCCUUCUAACAUUCUUCCAAUUUUCCAUCCCCAAACCACAUAUCAGAUUGUCAUGUUCUCUUUGCUGCUAAAUUAACUUAUCACUGCAUUCAUAUUAAAUUUCCUUGAGGAAUUUCCCUUUCACUGUGUCAUUUUUAUAUUUUUUUAUUAGUACCUUUUCUCUCAAAAGCUAAUUCUCUUUGAAAGCAAUGUCUUCCAGUCCAGGCUCUUCGUAAUUUUUUUUUUUUUUUUGAAAGAGUCU
rnacentral:lncRNA from 1 species